UGGCCGKGCGGSGKCUAUACAUGCAAGUCGAGCGAACGGACGAGAAGCUUGCUUCUCUGAUGUUAGCGGCGGACGGGUGAGUAACACGUGGAUAACCUACCUAUAAGACUGGGAUAACUUCGGGAAACCGGAGCUAAUACCGGAUAAUAUUUUGAACCGCAUGGUUCAAAAGUGAAAGACGGUCUUGCUGUCACUUAUAGAUGGAUCCGCGCUGCAUUAGCUAGUUGGUAAGGUAACGGCUUACCAAGGCAACGAUGCAUAGCCGACCUGAGAGGGUGAUCGGCCACACUGGAACUGAGACACGGUCCAGACUCCUACGGGAGGCAGCAGUAGGGAAUCUUCCGCAAUGGGCGAAAGCCUGACGGAGCAACGCCGCGUGAGUGAUGAAGGUCUUCGGAUCGUAAAACUCUGUUAUUAGGGAAGAACAUAUGUGUAAGUAACUGUGCACAUCUUGACGGUACCUAAUCAGAAAGCCACGGCUAACUACGUGCCAGCAGWGSRGGKUAWUWCMUAA
rnacentral:rRNA from 1 species